UACGUAGGUGACCAGCGUUGUCCGGAUUUACUGGGCGUAAAGAGCGCGCAGGCGGUCGUUCAAGUCGAGUGUGAAAGCCCCCGGCUCAACUGGGGAGGGUCACUUGAUACUGAUCGACUCGAAGGCAGGAGAGGGAAGCGGAAUUCCCGGUGUAGUGGUGAAAUGCGUAGAUAUCGGGAGGAACACCAGUGGCGAAGGCGACUUCCUGGCCCGUUCUUGACGCUGAGGCGCGAAAGCUAGGGGAGCAAACGGG
rnacentral:rRNA from 1 species